CGUCACGGGGAUCGCCGGGGGAGUCACGGACCAGUCCCCUCCGUAGCGGGAAUCGGCCGGAGCGUCGCUGGGAUCGCCGGGAGUAUCCAACCCCUACCUGACGAGUCCACGUCGAAUCCUUCAAUCGCUUCUGUGGCCGUUGCUGGAUAGAAGCAGUUGGAAGGAAGGCCCACAGUUCUCUGACGUUGGGCUGACGAGAUAUUGUUUCUUCCAGUACAUCUACAUCUCUUGGACUGCUUUGCUGCUAUCAGGCUAUCACAAAUUAAUAUUGAUGGCUCCUUCGGUAGCAAGCUGAGGGAUGUGGUUCUUUUAAUUAAUCCAUACAUUCAGAACACCAGCUAUGCGUGUAUGUAUGUAUGUAUAAAUAAUCUGUUUGUGUGUUAUACGUGUAUGUAUAUAAACAAUGAGUUCUUUGCUCACUCAAGUGAAGAGUAGACAGGACACUGAAAUAUGGUGAACUCUGAAUCUUUCAGGCGUACAUUUGAGUUUUAAGUCUGUUGUGUAUAUUAUCUUUGCUGGACUGCUUUGGUGUUGUAACAGAUGUAUAAUUGAACCGAACUAAAGGAACCUUUGCAAUACAGUUUUGCUGAGGCUU